GCGGCAGCGGCUGAGGAGGGAGCGCGGCAGGGGCGGGGCGGGGGAGGAGCCGCAGGGUCUCCCCAAGGGCUGGAGCCCCAAGGAGGAGGUGGAAUACCGGCACCCGCUGGGGCCCGACGGCAAAAAGGCCACGGCCGUGCCGCUGCCCCCCCGGUACAGC